UGCCCAGUGAUGAUACCCAUCCUUGCUCCCCGUGCCCGCAGGGGCUAUGGGCGACAUCACGGCUGCCCCCGGGUUGGGCCGGUUGGGCUGACGCCUGGGGGCUGAGGGCA
ensembl:snoRNA